rnacentral:rRNA from 1 species
CACGUAGGGGGCGAGCGUUGUCCGGAUUUACUGGGCGUAAAGAGCGCGCAGGCGGUCGUUCAAGUCGAAUGUGAAAGCCCCCGGCUCAACCUGGGGAGGGUCAUUCGAUACUGUUCGACUCGAAGGCAGGAGAGGGAAGUGGAAUUCCCGGUGUAGUGGUGAAAUGCGUAGAUAUCGGGAGGAACACCAGUGGCGAAGGCGACUUCCUGGCCUGUUCUUGACGCUGAGGCGCGAAAGCUAGGGGAGCAAACGGGG